AAUCUGGACGCUACAGCUUUAAGCAGCUGCGCGCUCCCGCGGACGGCAAUCACAAUCACUGUCUAGCACAACAGCUGGAGCUCAGGAGGCAAAACAAUCGCAUGAGUGCUGCUGUUUGACUGAGGAAGAAUAAAGUAGUCGUGCUCAGAUCCAGACUCAGAUUUGGUGCCUUUCAGUGUCUGAAGAUGUGUUCGAGUCUCUCCACCAGCCGCCUGAUUCUUCUGAUCUCCCUGAGUGUGAUGAUGCUCAUCUCUGUAUCAGGGGCUGAACACGUGGGGAUACUCUGCUAUGAAAAUCAUUCUAACCAAAAUGCAAGAACCACAAAGGGUACACCUGUAUGGGCCAAAAACAUCAUCAGCUGCUUUGAACAAAACAGACAUGGCUGCCUUCAUGGCUAUGAGGUCAAAACACAAGCGCCAAAAACACGUGCAGAAAGAACAUUUUUCCUCAAACCAAACACCGAGUGGAUAAAAAGGAAAAUAAAUGAGGGAACUCUGCUGUGUCCUCCACAGAUUUCUAAAUGAUGAUAAUGGAAACGAUGAAACAAAAGCUGUAGGACACAAGACCCUAGUGUUUUUUGCCCAUUAUUCAUUAUUAAUUCUUUUCUUCUUCUUUUCUUUUUUCUUCUUCUUUCACCACCACAGGGAACUCUGCUGUGUCCUCCAGUGUUUUCAAAUAAACAUGUAUAAGCUAUUAAUCUUUAAUGAGUCCUCCCACUGUAGUUUGUAUAUUCCAACUGCACUACACUGUUUAGAAGCAGUGACUGUCUGUCAUCUUGUCUCGUAGGUUUCUUAAUUCACACAGUGAUUUUCAUAGAUUUAAUCUAAGUAUAGAUGAUGAAAAUGAUGAAACAUAGUUAAAGUAAAGCAGCUGCUGGAAACAUUUCUGCUCAUUUAUUAGUUCACACUUUGACAGAAAUAUUUGUUAAGAAAUGUAAAUUAUUUUUUGCAAAUUAUUCAUAGCACCUUAACAGUCUUAUGUUCACACACACACACACACAUAUAUAUAUAUUUAUAUAUGUACAAUACAAAGCAAUUUUACUAUAUAACAUGUUUAAAGCCAGGGGGUACACCAAAUUGCUUCACAGUAAGGAAUGAACAGUAAAAUGAUAACACUGAACAGUAAGUCAUUAAAAAAUGUAAAAUAGAGAAACAAACAAAGGCAUUAGUAAGUAGGGAUUGGCAGAAUUCAUGAUAAUCCAGAGAAAUGAGUAAAGAUACGCCAGUUAGUGAUUGGUGAGAAUUAGCAAAUAUACUACAAAUAUCAUUAAAUAUGAAUGUUAUUCUGUCUUCAAGCUGAGAACAAAGAUAAAUCAAUAAAAGCUUCUGAAAUCAGAU
ensembl:lncRNA